UUGCAAUAUCUCCAGCAACAUUUCCAGCAGCAUUUCCAGCAGCAUUUCCAAUAUCACCUCCAAUCUUGCCAGCGUCGUGGUAAAUGUGUCCAGCAGAUCCAGCUACACUCGAGGCCGCAUUUCCAGCAGCAUGAGCAACAUCUCCAGCAGCAUUUCCAGCAGCGUUUCCAAUGUCACCACCAACCUUGCCGGCGUCGUG
rnacentral:sRNA from 1 species